rnacentral:rRNA from 1 species
CCUACGGGUGGCAGCAGUGGGGAAUAUUGCACAAUGGGGGAAACCCUGAUGCAGCGACGCCGCGUGAGUGAAGAAGUAUUUCGGUAUGUAAAGCUCUAUCAGCAGGGAAGAAAGUGACGGUCCCUGACUAAGCAUCCCCGGCUAACUACGUGCCGGCAGCCGCGGUAAUACGUAGGGGGCAAGCGUGAUCCGGAUUUACUGGGGGUAAAGGGAGCGUAGACGGCUGAGCAAGUCUGAAGUGAAAGCCCGCGGCUCAACUGCGGGACUGCUUUGGAAACUGUCCGGCUAGAGUGCUGGAGAGGUGAGCGGAAUUCCUAGUGUAGCGGUGAAAUGCGUAGAUAUUAGGAGGAACACCAGUGGCGAAGGCGGCUUACUGGACAGUAACUGACGUUGAGGCUCGAAAGCGUGGGUAGCAAACAGGAUUAGAUACCCGUGUAGUC